rnacentral:rRNA from 1 species
UACAGAGGGGGCAAUCGUUAUUCGGAAUUAUUGGGCGUAAAGGGCGCGUAGGCGGCUUGGCAAGUGGAAGGUGAAAUCCCUCGGCUUAACCGAGGAACUGCCCUCCAAGCUGCUUUGCUUGAGGCCGGGAGAGGCGAGUGGAAUUCCCAGUGUAGCGGUGAAAUGCGUAGAUAUUGGGAGGAACACCAGUGGCGAAGGCGGCUCGCUGGACCGGUUCUGACGCUGAUGCGCGAAAGCGUGGGGAGCAAACGGG